rnacentral:rRNA from 1 species
CGGACGGGUGAGUAACGCGUGGGUAACCUGCCUUAUACAGGGGGAUAACAGUCAGAAAUGGCUGCUAAUACCGCAUAAGCGCACAGAGCUGCAUGGCUCAGUGUGAAAAACUCCGGUGGUAUAAGAUGGACCCGCGUUGGAUUAGCUGGUUGGUGGGGUAACGGCCCACCAAGGCGACGAUCCAUAGCCGGCCUGAGAGGGUGAACGGCCACAUUGGGACUGAGACACGGCCCAGACUCCUACGGGAGGCAGCAUG